UCCCCAAAUUCCCGAUUCCCCUUCCUUCUCAGUCCCCUUAUCCUCUCGUCUCUCACACACGAGGAGAAGCGGAUCUCGCCGGCCAUCGGGAGGGAUGGCCGCCGACGGCUCCGACACGGAAUCGCCGCGCUCUGGCCUGCUUCGAGCACCUCUCUCUACCUUCUCGCCGGCCCCCGCACCGAGGCCGCUGACAUCUGCGCCGUCCCCACCUUCCGAUUCCACUACGCCGUGAGGGUGAUCCUCUUCGCCUUCUUCCGCGCCUACCUCGUCACCGCCGACGUUGCCAACCUCCAGUUCGUGCUCGCCGCCACCGUCCCAUUCGUAAUACUCCCCGUGGUGUUCCUCCUAAGGGACGACUUCGAGCCCGCCUUUGGGAACAACGACAGUGGAGGAGGGGCGAGGAGGAUAAGGCGUCGGAGGACAUGGGAUGGAGAAGAAGGACGGUGACGUCAAGACCGGGCCGACGCUCCGACGUCGAGACCAUGCAGACUCGGAGGAGGCUUCGGUCCGCUCCUCCCUGUCUCGGUUGUUUGGCUAGUGAGCAGCUGAGGAGGGGCGUCAAUGGCGCAGACUGGGGAUUGACGCAUCCGAGCUGGGUGGUUGUGUUGAGAGGGUUUAUUUGGUGGUGCAGCCUCGCAGUUCGACACCGGCGAGAUGGGCGGCGGACCUCAGAGCAGUCAUUGAAGGCAGUUUGAGAGUAGGUUCAUUUAGGGUCACCUUCUCGAGGAUCGUCGAGAGGAAAUCGACGAGGGACUUCUCUGGCGUGCCAUACAACAUGACGUUGCUCAGCUGCCUCUUAUUGGCAUGGUGGCAGCAGGGAGAGGCCUGGGUGAAGUGAAGGGUGCUUCCUGUGAAUUACUUAGGGCCAAAUUAUCUACGGGUUGAAAGCAGUCGAUGUAUUUUGUUGCAUUAAAAGGACGAUGGUGCAGUUGUAUAUAUGAUGUUUUUUUUUGGGUUUUGCCAACCGCAUAUGUGAAUGCAUUCUUUACAAGAUUUAUAUUGUUUUC